rnacentral:rRNA from 1 species
GUCACCUACGGGGCGCAGCAGUGAGGAAUAUUGGUCAAUGGGCGGGAGCCUGAACCAGCCAUGCCGCGUGAAGGCGAGUGCCCUACGGGCGUUAAACUUCUUUUGUGCGGGAGCAAUAAGGGCCACGCGUGGCCCGAUGAGAGUACCGCACGAAUAAGCAUCGGCUAACUCCGUGCCAGCAGCCGCGGUAAUACGUAGGUGGCAAGCGUUGUCCGGAUUUACUGGGUGUAAAGGGCGUGCAGCCGGAGAGACAAGUCAGAUGUGAAAUCCACGGGCUCAACCCGUGAACUGCAUUUGAAACUGUU